rnacentral:rRNA from 1 species
CGCCGCGUGAGGGAUGACGGCCUUCGGGUUGUAAACCUCUUUUAGCAGGGAAGAAGCGAAAGUGACGGUACCUGCAGAAAAAGCGCCGGCUAACUACGUGCCAGCAGCCGCGGUAAUACGUAGGGCGCAAGCGUUAUCCGGAAUUAUUGGGCGUAAAGAGCUCGUAGGCGGUUUGUCGCGUCUGCUGUGAAAUCCCGAGGCUCAACCUCGGGCCUGCAGUGGGUACGGGCAGACUAGAGUGCGGUAGGGGAGAUUGGAAUUCCUGGUGUAGCGGUGGAAUGCGCAGAUAUCAGGAGGAACACC